rnacentral:rRNA from 1 species
CGGGACGGGUGAGUAACGCGUGGGUAACCUGCCUUGUACUGGGGGACAACAGUUGGAAACGACUGCUAAUACCGCAUAAGCGCACAGCUUCGCAUGAAGCGGUGUGAAAAACUCCGGUGGUACAAGAUGGACCCGCGUCUGAUUAGCCAGUUGGCAGGGUAACGGCCUACCAAAGCGACGAUCAGUAGCCGACCUGAGAGGGUGACCGGCCACAUUGGGACUGAGACACGGCCCAA